AUUGCAAAUAAAUAAAUAUAAUGUCUACACCGUUACUUUCCCCAAAUUCAAUCAGUACCAUUCGAUAUGAUCGCAAAAAUCAUCGCAAAAUGAUCAAACAUUCAUUACCAUCCGAAAUAAAUGCAUUACCAACGGAUUGGACCCCUAAUACAAAACCCUCGAAAAUUAUCGAGAAUUUACUCGCUGACAAACAAAAACUUCACGAUCAACGCUUAUCUGAUCUUAAAGACGUCAUGAUUAAAAUCAAAGUAGAAACGGAAAACAAGAUUCGAAACGCGUCUGAAAAUGUAAAACAAUGCAUUUUUAAUACAAAGAAAUACGUAGAGGAAGACAUGGAGAAAUAUACAUUUGAUUUUAAUAAAACCAAAGCAACUAUACGCUCGUACGAAGAAAUGUUUAAACGAUUGAAAGAAAUGAUUGCGAUUCGCUGCAAUGAGAUGAAACUAGCGAUAACUAAACACGAUUCCCAACUGAAACAGAUUGAAUUGGAACGUAUGAAUUCAUUAAAAGCAGCUUUUCGAUCUGCUUAUGAAGAUUUAACAAAGAUUUCUUAUAAAUUACCGCACGAACUUCAAUUGUACUUUGAAAAUGAAAUAAUGUUACUGAAUCAGAUGACAUUAUCGAACCACUACGCUUAUUCAGAGCUACAAAGUCAACUGAUGAAUAUUGCGUUGAGUAACGAGAAUAUUUGGUUGAAAAAAGUCGAUAAACUUAAAUUUGAUUAUCAACGUAAAUAUGAAGAACAGCAAAGGAAUAAAGACAAAUAUUCUUCGGGAGAUGACAUUGACGAUGGUGUCUUAACACUGCUAAAAGUCAAAGCGUUUACAGAAAAUUUAACAAUGGAGAUAUUCCAAUUGGAAUCAGAAGGCCAGGGUGCAACGAAUAUGAUUUACAAAGUUUUGAAGCGCAUCUACGAAGGACGUUUCGAUGAAGUGCACAUGAUUGAGACAGAUUUCGUUGGGUUACCAAAACGUGACUUUUGGGGUAUUUACGAUGAAGUCUACAGAUCGAUGUUUGAAUUUGAAAGUUAUGAAAAAGUGACUGAGUACACGGAGGUAAUGAUGGGAAGAUGGCGAGAUGUUGUCGAUAGAUUGGCGGAUGAAGUUGAAUUUUGUAAGCAAGCCGUUGUGAAAGGUCUACACAUUUGGGAUCAACAUUUUGUGCGGCAGCUUGAAGUCACUGAUAUAUUUUCUAUGGAUUUGUGGGAUUUAAUUAAUACUUCAGAUGAUGAUGAUGAUAUUACAAUGGCAGCAUUAAAUAAAACAAUAGAUACAAUGCGAAUGGGUCCAAAUGAAGAUUCUCUCAAUAAAUUAAUGGGAGAUUGUAAAAGUUACUGGAUUCCUUACAAAAAUCAUCUGAAGAAAGUUAUCAGAAACACGCACGUCAUUUCGACAGGUUUCGUGAUAUGAUUGUAGAAAGUGGUCAAAUAUUAUACCUAGAAAUAUCUUAUUUUGUUAAGUGCAUGCCAAGUGAUGAUGAUGUUAACCCUGUGAUUUUUCGCGGACGUCGGUCGAGAAUAGAAAUUGUCCCACCGGAAAACAAACCGAUAUUGAUGAAAGAAUUCGAUGCGGAUAUCAAAGCAAUGCAUAACUGGUUAUAUGGGUUAGUAAUCUUUUAAAUUUUAACAUCUAAAGUUAAAAUUUAGGGGAAGGUAGCAUAAUUUGGACCAGCGCCUAAGUUGGACCACCACGAUAUCCGCGGACUGUUGAAGUUUAUGCAAAAAUUGACUGGCCCCUUAUUUUACUCGUAUUUAUAAACAAUUAAUGCAACUAUUUGGGUUAAAACUUGCCGCGUGCUUUCGUCGUGACAACAACUUCGUGUAUCAUUGAUUAUCAAAUCUAUUAUAACGACAGUUACUCAAUAUCAUAAGAAAAAUUCGGAAUUCUGUCAUGAGAACACAUUAUUAUACGCGAAUACUUGGAUAGAAAAGAAUUACAUCAUUGUCUAUCGACAUUAUCAACUCAAAUCAGCGUUAAUUGCUAAAAUGUAUCAAGAAAUAUUUCAUUAUGUGUAUCGUGUACGUCUUGCGGAAAUAAUUCAACAUAAGAAAAGAUUAGAUGAGCAUAUUUUGGGUAUUAAUACAGAAUUAAUAAAAUUCACACCGAAAGAAAAUAUUUACGCCGGAAUAACAUUCCAAAUGAAUAUGGAGUUGAAAAAAUUAAAUAAAUCAUUAGCAAAUAUGAAUACAACCACCGGAAUAACCAAACAACUUCAACACUUCAAAAACACAGCAAUUGAUGAUCUGAACCAAAUAAAAACACAACUGGACGAUAAAAUUUCAUCACGUUUUACUGAAUUACAAAGCCUCAAUCUGGAAUUCAUCAAACACAUUAAACUAUUCAGCGAAGACGGUGAUUAUCACAUCGAUGAAAUUGCAAACAUAAAGAAAAAAUUCACAGAAUUAAAUAAAAACAUGACUAAACAAAAAUCAGAGAUUGAUAAAGAAAACGAAGCAAAAUAUCAAGCUCAUUUAGAAGAAAUAAACACAAUCGAAGAACAAUUCAAUGAAGAAUCAAGCGAAAUAAUUUCAAGCAUAGAAUUUAAAGAAUUCACCGAUAAAUUCACUAGGAAAAUGCGUACAUCGCUAAAACAAGAAACACAGGCAUUAGUUCAGAAUUACAAUCACUUAUCAGCGCAUGUUGAACGUCUUGAGAGUUUAGCAGAGAAUAAUAUCGGACAAAUCGAAUAUUUGGAUGAUUUUACGUCAAAUUGCGAAUAUAUACAAGGUAUUUUUAAAGAAUUAUACGAAAAAAUCUUGCAGAAAGAAGUUUUUAACUUGAGUGUCAGUUUGUUUAAACUACCAGAAACAAACAAUGAAGACAAACAACAAGAAAAUGCAGAAAAUCAUUCAGAAACUAAUGUAAUCCUUGAAAAUCUACAAGAAAAACUAGAAGAAACUAAUUUAACUGCAACAGUAAAAGUAAUGUUUCCGACUUUUCCAUUUGGAAAUGAUUACAUGUCGAGAAUCGUAAACAUUUUGUUCGGAGAGCCUUUGGAAGAUCUACAAACUCAUG